CCAUCUGCAGGGUGGGACGGGACCAGGGACAGAGCACAGGUGAGGGCAGGUGGGGACAGAAGGGGCAGGUGGGACGGGACCAGGGACAGAGCACAGGUGAGGGCAGGUGGGGACAGAGGGGGCAGGUGGGACGGGAACAGGGACAGAGCACAGGUGAGGGCAGGUGGGGACAGAGAGGGCAGGUGGGAACACUGGGACAGAGAGGACAGGUGGGCACACUGGGACAGGUGGACACCGGGAUGGGUGCAGAGAAGGGG